UAUAUACUCCCUCCGUCCGGAAAUACUUGUCAUCAAAAUGGAUAAAAGGGAUGUAUCUAGAUGUAUUUUAGUUUUAGAUACAUCCCUUUUUGUCCAUUUUGAUGACAAUAUUUUCGGACGAAGGGAGUAUAAU
rnacentral:pre_miRNA from 1 species